UGGCGACCGGCGCACGGGUGAGUAACACGUAUCCAACCUUCCGUUUACUCAGGGAUAGCCUUUCGAAAGAAAGAUUAAGACCUGAUAGUAUGGUGAGAUUGCAUGAUAGCAUCAUUAAAGAUUUAUUGGUAAACGAUGGGGAUGCGUUCCAUUAGGUAGUAGGCGGGGUAACGGCCUACCUAGCCGACGAUGGAUAGGGGUUCUGAGAGGAAGGUCCCCCACAUUGGAACUGAGACACGGUCCAAACUCCUACGGGAGGCAGCAGUGAGGAAUAUUGGUCAAUGGGCGAGAGCCUGAACCAGCCAAGUAGCGUGAAGGAUGAAGGUCCUACGGAUUGUAAACUUCUUUUAUACGGGAAUAAAGUAUCCUACGUGUAGGAUUUUGUAUGUACCGUAUGAAUAAGCAUCGGCUAACUCCGUGCCAGCAGCCGCGGUAAUACGGAGGAUGCGAGCGUUAUCCGGAUUUAUUGGGUUUAAAGGGAGCGCAGACGGGAGAUUAAGUCAGUUGUGAAAGUUUGCGGCUCAACCGUAAAAUUGCAGUUGAUACUGGUUUCCUUGAGUGCAGUUGAGGCAGGCGGAAUUCGUGGUGUAGCGGUGAAAUGCUUAGAUAUCACGAAGAACCCCGAUUGCGAAGGCAGC
rnacentral:rRNA from 1 species